rnacentral:tRNA from 1 species
GGCACUUUGGCCGAGUGGUCUAAGGCGCCGUGUUCAGGCUACUGGCUCUUCGGAGCAGGUUCUCUAUUCGCGGUCUAGUAAUAGGCGAGGGUUCGAAUCCCUCAGGUGUCA